GAGAGUCUUCUAGGCACGGCCGGAUGGGAUCCAUCAUUCAUGGGAAUGGGGAAUGUCUUUUCUUGAUAAUGAUCCCAACAAAUCAGAACUGCAAUAUGGUCCUUCUCCUCGUCAGUUCCAAGGUGGGUCUCAAUUUCAAGGGUAUGGGGAAGGGCAAUCGAGCACCUACCACGGAAUUCCCAAAGCCCUCAACAGAAAAAGAAGAACAAAAGCUUCAUUUCUCAGAAGGAGCAACAGGGGAAGUCAAGCAGUGUUGAUAAAGCAGACAGUAAUCGGAAUAGGAAAGAGGAGGUUGUCAUCAAUUAUGAUCCAAAAACGAAGGAUGUGAUGUGUUACAACUGUGGAGAGCCAGCUCACUCUGUUGGGACUUGCCCAGUGCCCAAAAGUUGUUUCAUUUGCCACAAGUCUGGGCAUCACAUGGACAAUUGUGUGGAAUGGUACAAACCUCAAGCUACUGCCCAAUACUAUGGCAGUGCCAAUGCUGGACUGGGCUUCUCCCACAUUGAGUCUGAAACACAAGGAUGUUGUUAAGUGGCUUAAUCUGUCUAAUGUGUGUGUUGCUGUGAUUGAGGAAGGUUCUAUCUCUACUCAAGAACUGAAGCAAACUUCUCUGAAAUCUGGAAAACUAACUGGCCAUGGCAGGUGAGACAGCUGACUGAAAAAUGCUUCCUGGUCGGGUUUGCACCGCAUUAAAAAGUAAAGGAUUCAGUUGAGCUCCCCUCCAUCAAUCACAGAAAAAGGGGGUUACUGUGUCUUUUGACGAAUGGGAUGGUGAAGAGGUUGCUUAUGCUGAGCUUCAGAUGUCUAUGACGGGGAUCCCUGUCAAUAAACUCACAUGGAAAGUUAUCUUGCAAAUUGCAUAUAUCUUGGGCAUCUUGGUUAAUGUUGACUGGCAUGAGAUCUUCAGAAGUUUUUAUGAAAAGGUCAAAGUUCAGGUUGCUAUGAGAGAUGUGUCAAAAAUUCCCUCUGAAAGGCUAGUGGAGAUUGAUAAAGAACUAUUCCUUAUCUCUUUUCUGGUGGAUACAUAACCUGUCUUGGAGGUGGGUAACACCAGGACAGGAGAGAGAGAAAUCUGAUGAGGACUUACUAGAGGGAGAUCCUGAGAAAGAUAUGCAGAUGCAGGGACCAAAAGCUAUGGAGUCUGACAAGAACAAGAACCAAACUGCAGGUGGUCAGCCUCAGAACUCCCACAAAGCUCCCUCUCACUCCAAAACACCUUGGAGUUGACGAACUCUCUGGAAAAAAGGUGCAAAGUGUUAUCUUAGGUCUGAGUGAAGCUAGCAGUAUAAAGAAGGAUGUGCGGCAAAAACAGCCUAUUGAGAACAUUGGUACGCAGUUGCUUGAGCAGUUUGAUGCGGAGUCUGAUGGGGAGGCCACAACCUUAGAGACUCCAACCCAACCGCUUCAACAUCCUUUGGACAAGGCCAAAAUUUGGGGCCCUGUGGUGGCGCCAGAGUGAGUGCUAGAUUAGAAGAGAUGGGAGAACUGCCAUACAGAAGGCUGAAGAUCUCAGAAACUCAAGGACCUGAAGAUACCUAAAGGUGAUUUUGAAGAAGAUAACAGGUUUCUGCAAUCUAUGGAAGAUCUUGUGCAAGGGCGGUGCAAAAGAGCUUGUGGAGAGGUUCACAACAUCUCUGUGGGAGGUUGCCAGAAGACCACCACUGCUGCUCUGGUCAGAACCAGGCUGAGGAAGAGGGAGCUGUGGCUGCAAUACUCUCUGAGGAAAGCGGGGGGAUGGAUAGGUGUAGACAACAUGGUAUCCUAGAGGGAUGACAAAAAUGUGCUCCAAAGAUCCAUCUGUUCUCUCUUGUAGACUUGGCUCCCCCUCGGGUGGUUUAGAACCCGUUUUAUUCUGUUUCCUGCUAGCCUGAAUGUUGACGGGGUUGAUGAUGCAAUCUUCCCUUGCAUGUUGAAAUAAACUGUACUCUGUUUGGUUUCGUUUU